UAAGAGGUCCUGCCUGCCCAGUGACUGUUUGUUCAACGGCCGCGGUACUUUGACCGUGCGAAGGUAGCGCAAUCACUUGUCUUUUAAAUGAAGACCUGUAUGAAUGGCUAGACGAGGGCUUAACUGUCUCCUUUUUCCAGUCAAUGAAAUUGAUCUUCCCGUGCAGAAGCGGGAAUAACAACAUAAGACGAGAAGACCCUGUGGAGCUUUAGACACUAAAUCAGCCCUUGUCCAUAACCCCCAUUAAGGGGCCGAACAAUAGAGUGAGACCUGAUCUGAUGUCUUCGGUUGGGGCGACCUCGGGGAAAGAAAAAACCCCCGCGCGGAACAGGAGUACUACUCCCAAAACUGAGAGCCGCCACUCAAGGUACCAGAAAUUUUGACCAACAAUAUGAUCCAGCUUAACGCCGAUCAACGGACUAAGUUACCCCAGGGAUAACAGCGCAAUCCUCUUCUAGAGCCCAUAUCGACAAGAGGGUUUACGACCUCGAUGUUGGAUCAGGACAUCCUAAUGGUGCAGCCGCUAUUAAGGGUUCGUUUGUUCAACGAUUAAAGUCC
rnacentral:rRNA from 1 species